AUGGACUGGACCUGGAGGAUCCUCCUCUUGGUGGCAGCAGCUACAGGCGCCCACUCCGAGGUCCAGCUGGUGCAGUCUGGGGCUGAGGCUGUCUCUUAUACACAUCUAGAUGUGUAUAAGAGACAGGUGAAAAUCUCCUGCAAGGCUUCUGGAUACACCUUCACCGACUACUACCUGCACUGGGUGCGACAGGCCCCUGGAAAAGGGCUUUAGUGGAUGGGACGCAUUGAUCCUGAAGAUGGUGAAGCAGACUACGCACAGAAGUUCCAGGGCAGAGUCACCAUCACCGCGGACACGUCUACAGACACAGCCUACAUGGAGCUGAGCAGCCUGAGAUCUGAGGACACGGCCGUGUAUUACUGUGCGAGAGACACAGUGUGAAAACCACAUCCUGAGAGUGUCAGAAACCCUGAGGGAGGAGGCAGCUGUGCUGGGGCUGAGAAGUUGAUGGCAUUUAUGAGGUUUAAACAUGUUUAGAAAAUGGGUUAAGUAAUUGAGUGAAACAAGCAAUGGAAAGAUGUAUACACUGUCAUUAUAUAGGAAAUAGUAUUUUCAACUGUCACCUUAUAAGUAACACUCACAGAGUGGGAAAGGCAGCCAUCAAUCAAGCCGAUGCAAACAUUCCCAUGGAGGCUUUGUGGGGACAUACAUUUUAAAACCGGAUGGGUAAACCAUUAGGAACAGGAUUGCUUGAUCACAUGGUAAGACUAAAUAUAAUUUCCAAGAAG